GAACCAACAGGGAUUGCCUCAGUAACGGCGAGUGAAGCGGCAACAGCUCAAAUUUGAAAUCUGGCCCCCUCGGGGUCCGAGUUGUAAUUUGGAGAAGAUGCUUCGGGUGCGGCCCCGGUCUAAGUUCCUUGGAACAGGACGUCACAGAGGGUGAGAAUCCCGUACGUGCCCGGUGGUCGCCCCCGUGUGAAGCUCUUUCGACGAGUCGAGUUGUUUGGGAAUGCAGCUCUAAAUGGGUGGUAUAUUUCAUCUAAAGCUAAAUAUUGGCCAGAGACCGAUAGCGCACAAGUAGAGUGAUCGAAAGAUGAAAAGCACUUUGGAAAGAGAGUUAAACAGUACGUGAAAUUGUUGAAAGGGAAGCGCUUGCAACCAGACUUGCGCGCGGCCGAUCAUCCGGUGUUCGCACCGGUGCACUCGACCGCGCGCAGGCCAGCAUCGGUUUGGGUGGCUGGACAAAGGCCUCGGGAAUGUGGCUCCCUUCGGGGAGUGUUAUAGCCCGAGGUGCAAUGCAGCCUACCCGGACCGAGGACCGCGCUUCGGCUAGGAUGCUGGCGUAAUGGUUGUAAGCGACCCGUC
rnacentral:rRNA from 1 species